CAGAUUUGGCCUGGUGAUAUUCGGAGGGAUAGAUGGGUACUCAAGAAAGAUCAUGUACCUGGGUGCUGCUGCUAACAACAGAGCAACAACUGCACUUGCUUUCUUCUUGGAGGCUGUACAAAUGUAUGGCUUUCCCUUGAGGUAAAAUCUACACAAAAUGAAUUUUCACAAUGACUGUACUAAUCUGUAAAUAUGAUUUAUUUCCCUUGAUUAGCAGUGUAAUUAUUUUGGCAUGCAAUGCGUAAACUAUACAUGAUCAAUUGUUUAAAAAUCUCCAUACUCUUGUUUAAAUGGUUCAAACAUUUAAAAUUCUUGAAAGGUGUGUUUCAUACAGAGCUGCACACUGUUGAAUAACCAAAACAAUAAACUUCUAAUAACCAGUCUAAAGUAAAAUUAUAUUUAAAACACAAAGGCUGCAAUAAAUUUUAAGAGUGACAUAUUUUUUUUAGAUUUAAAAAAAUUGUACUGUCAAUGUUUCAUUUUGUUUUAGAGUUCGAGGGGAUCAAGGGGUGGAAAAUGUUGGAAUAGCAAGAUGCAUGUUCACUAUCCGGGGCUGUGGAAGAGGAAGUUUUCUGUCAGGCAAGAGUGUUCACAACCAAAGAAUAGAGCGCUUGUGGCGAGAUGUGUGGAUGGCUGUUUCAAGCGUGCACUUUGAAACCCUUCACAACCUCAACAAUG